GAAGGGGGCUUCGGCCCCUGGAGAGCGGCAGACGGGUGAGUAACACGUGGGUAACCUGUCCUUGGGUGGGGGAUAACUACUCGAAAGGGUGGCUAAUACCGCAUAAGACCACGGCCUUGCGGGGCUGCGGUCAAAGGUGCAAAUCGCCUGAGGAGGGGCCCGCGGCCGAUUAGCUAGUUGGUAGGGUAAUGGCCUACCAAGGCGGGGAUCGGUAGCUGGUCUGAGAGGAUGAUCAGCCACACUGGUACUUUUUCACGGACCAGGAUCCUACGGGAGGCAGUUUCGGAUCUGGCGUAAAACUCGAGCCAUC
rnacentral:sRNA from 1 species